GAAGUAUAGCUCAGCUGGUUAGAGUAUUCGCUUGACGUGCGAAGGGUCGCGGGUUCGAAUCCCUCUACUUCC
rnacentral:tRNA from 1 species